UGGGGAAUAUUGGACAAUGGGGGUAACCCUGAUCCAGCAAUGCCGCGUGUGUGAAGAAGGCCUUCGGGUUGUAAAGCACUUUUAUCGGGAACGAAACAUUGUCGGCCAAUACCCGGCAAGACUGACGGUACCCGAGGAAUAAGCACCGGCUAACUCCGUGCCAGCAGCCGCGGUAAUACGUAGGCAGCAAGCGUCGUUCGGAGUUACUGGGCGUAAAGAGUGCGUAGGCGGUUUUCUAAGUUCGGUGUGAAAUCUCCCGGCUUAACUGGGAGGGUGCGCCGAAGACUGGGAAGCUGGAGUGUGGGAAAGGCAGGCGGAAUUCCUGGUGUAGCGGUGAAAUGCGUAGAUAUCAGGAGGAACACCGGCGGUGUAGACGGCUUGCUAGACCAUAACUGACGCUGAGGCACGAAAGCGUGGGUAGCAAACA
rnacentral:rRNA from 1 species